ensembl:lncRNA
AGGAUCUCCCAAGCUAGGGUGGAGAGGGUUGCACAUGGUUCCCCUGCAUCAGGGAUUUAAACCCUUUCUAGUAAUUCCCUGCUUAUUCACCAUUCUCUCUCUCUAGACUAGUGGCUCUCAGCUGUGGUGGCACAUUUCGUGGGACACCUGGGGACAUUUUGAAACUGCAGACAUACAGAUCACAGGCUAAGGAAAUUACAAGCUCUUGGAGUAGGAUUCAGCCCACCAGGCUCCUCUGUCCAUGGGAUUCUCCAGGCAAGAACACUGGAAUGGGUUGCCAUUUCCUCCUCCAUGAGAUCUUCCUAAUCCAGGGACUGAACUCGAGUCUCUUGUCUCCUGUGCUGGCAGGUGUGUUUGGACAGGCAGUGGGCCCAGAGGCAGCAGAGGGCUCUGGACUCAAAUUUUCCCAGUCUUACCUCCAGAGUGGAAAGGGCUGUCUCUGCUAAGCUCAACACACACAUUCCAUGGGAAGGACUCCAAUUUUCCAGGAUGAAGAUGUUAAAACCCCUGCCUAGUCACAGAGACAGAGUACAGGUGUUACCUGUAUGAGGACCAGAGUGCAGGUCCUCAGAUAAGGCUGAUGAUCUUCUCAGAACAGUACCAUCUGCAGGCAUGUGGUUAUCAAAGGAGACUCCUGAGUCAAUCAGAUACAGAAACAGGAUUCACAGGCUGAGGCUAUUAUUAAUCUGUUAUUGCAGAUCUUUAGGAAAGGAACAAGGAGUUCUACUUGCCUCUCUGUAGGUGAUUACAAUUACAGUUGUCAGGGGGAGUGUGUAAUUUACUUGGUUCUGUCUCCUCACAAGAAAAAUUUGAAGUGACCGACGUUAAAGCCCUCGGUGCAUCACAACUCUCAGUGUUACAGCUCCAUGUUAC